rnacentral:rRNA from 1 species
AGAAUCAACGCUGGCGGCGUGCCUAACACAUGCAAGUCGCACGAGAAAGGGGAGCAAUCCCUGAGUAAAGUGGCGCACGGGUGAGUAACACGUGAAUAAUCUACCUUCGAGUGGGGAAUAACUGAGAGAAAUCUUAGCUAAUACCGCAUAACACUUACGAGUCAAAGCAGCAAUGCGCUUGGAGAGGAGUUCGCGGCCGAUUAGUUAGUUGGCGGGGUAAUGGCCCACCAAGACGAUGAUCGGUA